rnacentral:rRNA from 1 species
UACGUAGGGGGCGAGCGUUGUCCGGAUUUACUGGGCGUAAAGAGCUCGUAGGCGGCUUGGCAAGUCGGGUGUGAAACCUCCAGGCUCAACCUGGAGACGCCACUCGAUACUGCCAUGGCUAGAGUCCGGUAGGGGACCACGGAAUUCCUGGUGUAGCGGUGAAAUGCGCAGAUAUCAGGAGGAACACCGGUGGCGAAGGCGGUGGUCUGGGCCGGCACUGACGCUGAGGAGCGAAAGCGUGGGUAGCAAACAGG